AGAAGUUGUUCACAACUUGCAUUGUUACUAUUUACAAUUAAAAAGUAUAUAUUUUAUGCCACCAUGUCGGAUUCUUGUUUAAAGGACGAAGUGUUAAAUAAUAAAAACAAGCAAGAUGUUCACUGCCAAUUUUGCCAUUCGCUGGUACUAAAAGCACAACAAGGGAUCUAUGAGGUGAAACAGUUUGACCUGCCAUUGAUUCAUCAGAAAAAUACCAAAGACAUUAACACAAUUGAAACAGAAUCCCUGGAAGAUUUUUGGGUCAUCGACGAUAUGUUUACCUUUGAAAACAUUGGCUUUUCGAAUACAGUGGAUAAACGAAAGUUUCUCAUCUGUGCAGAUUGUGAGAUGGGACCGGUUGGUUAUCACGAUAUUGAGACAAAAAAGUGUUUUGUUGCCUUAAAAAGGGUGCAUCAUGGCAAUGAAAAACCCCAGUGAUUUAACCAGAGGGAACAUCUUAAGGCUCAAGACAUUCGCAUACGAAUUAUGAAGAGAACAAAUUGGAUGAAUGGUCAAAAUUAGAGUUACAUAUAUCUAAGCAAAGUACGAUUCUGUAUGGACUGCACUUAUUAUAGUUCUACAAUAACUUUAUGUGCGAGGCCUAAAAAGUCAAAUUGAAAAAUAUGUGUACGAAACAUAUCUAGAUAAGGACUAGUUACAGACAUAACGUCAUAGCCAAUUUUUAAUGAGAACAGGUGAGGCGUACCUUUUAGAGUGCCAAGAAUUCAAACCGAAAGCCAAGUUUAUAUGUUUUAAAAGAUGAUGAUGUCACCAAAAAACGAAUAGGCUGCUCAGUAAAAUCAGACACCAUCGCCGCUUGUAGUGACGUCAUUAUCCCAGAGGGCACACAAAAUGUUGUCUGUAAAAUAUGUACGGAGCCAAAAUGCAACUCAAGUCCAGCCCUUGCAUUGUCUAUUCUGCUGAUACCUGUAGUUUUAUUCCUUCGGUAUAUAAAGAAUUAAUUAGAACUGUUUUAAUGAAUAAUUUUUAAGAAGAAUUAAGAAUUAAACUAAAUUUAACGCACGCG